rnacentral:rRNA from 1 species
AGCGAACGCGGUGAACUGAAACAUCUAAGUAACCGCAGGAAAAGAAAUCAACCGAGAUUCCCAAAGUAGUGGCGAGCGAAAUGGGAUGAGCCUUGCACUCUUUAUUUGUAUUGUUAGCCGAACGCUCUGGAAAGUGCGGCCAUAGCAGGUGAUAGCCCUGUAGGCGAAAACAGUAUGAAAGAACUAGGUGUGCGACAAGUAGGGCGGGACACGUGAAAUCCUGUCUGAAGAUGGGGGGACCAUCCUCCAAGGCUAAAUACUCGUGAUCGACCGAUAGUGAACCAGUACCGUGAGGGAAAGGCGAAAAGAACCCCGGGAGGGGAGUGAAAUAGAUCCUGAAACCGCAUGCAUACAAACAGUCGGAGCCUCGUAAGGGGUGACGGCGUACCUUUUGUAUAAUGGGUCAGCGACUUACGUUCAGUAGCAAGCUUAACCGUAUAGGGCAGGCGUAGCGAAAGCGAGUCCGAAUAGGGCGUUCAGUUGCUGGGCGUAGACCCGAAACCAGGUGAUCUAUCCAUGGCCAGGAUGAAGGUGCGGUAACACGUACUGGAGGUCCGAACCCACUAACGUUGAAAAGUUAGGGGAUGAGCUGUGGAUAGGGGUGAAAGGCUAAACAAACCUGGAAAUAGCUGGUUCUCUCCGAAAACUAUUUAGGUAGUGCCUCGUGUCUCACCUUCGGGGGUAGAGCACUGUCAUGGUUGGGGGGUCUAUUGCAGAUUACCCCGCCAUAGCAAACUCCGAAUACCGAAGAGUGCAAUCACGGGAGACAGACAUCGGGUGCUAACGUCCGGUGUCAAGAGGGAAACAACCCAGACCGCCAGCUAAGGUCCCCAAAUAUAGCUAAGUGGGAAACGAAGUGGGAAGGCUAAAACAGUCAGGAGGUUGGCUUAGAAGCAGCCACCCUUUAAAGAAAGCGUAAUAGCUCACUGAUCGAGUCGUCCUGCGCGGAAGAUGUAACGGGGCUAAGCUAUAUACCGAAGCUGCGGAU